rnacentral:rRNA from 1 species
UGCAGAAUCCCGCGAACCAUCGAGUCUUUGAACGCAAGUUGCGCCUGAGGCCAUUCGGUUGAGGGCACGCCUGCCUGGGCGUCACGCCAAACACGCUCCCAACUCCCCCUCAUCGGGAAGCGGGAUGCGGCAUGUGGCUUUCCGUCGCGCAAGUGGCGGUGGGCCGAAGAUAUGGCUGCCGGCGUAUCGUGCCGGACACAGCGCGUGGUGGGCGUACUCGCUUUACUUACCGCAGUGCAUUUGGCGCGUAGUCGACGUGAUGGCCUUGAAGGACCCUAUAACGGAGCGCAUGACACUUCGACCGCGACCCCAGGUCAGGCGGGAUUACCCGCUGAAUUUAAGCAUAUAAAUAAGCGGAGGAGAAGAAACUUACAAGGAUUCCCCUAGUAACGGCGAGCGAACCGGGAACAGCCCAGCUUGAGAAUCGGGCGGCCGUGCUGUCCGA